CCCAGGUAUCGGGACAGGUAACCUACUUUUAAGUCGGACUGACGCCGAACAUCCUCUCGAAGCGAAGUCGGAAUGUGUAUGUCGUCUUUGCAUGUUAUAAUGUGAUGUAGUGGUGACACAGUGCGAGCUCAAAACCAGAAGAGGAAAUUAGAUUAUGCACCGCAGGGCCGUGGUUUGUCACGAACGAUUUCAAUAUGUUGAAGAUACUUUUACUCGUAAUUAUGACAGGACUUGUAAAGAAUGAAACACAAUGUCCCGCAGCUGACAUCUGUUUGACAGCAUUUAUUAAAUCUGCAAAACGGGCCACGGACCAACAAGGCCUUUGUCAUUAUGUGUAUAUAGCGUUAGACUGUCUCGAAGAAUCGAAGCAGCAAUGCCUGUUUGAACAACACGCGUGGAUCGAACACAAAAUGGAAGACAUUCGUAGGGAACAUCCAACGUGUGAUUCCUCUGCCACGUUGACACCAUCUUUAGUUUUGAUUGUACUGUUCUCAGCACUGCAAUAUGUUUCUUGAACACUUGGCAAAUUUAAUAUAGCCAGGAGUGAUCUGAUCACCACUGGAUUAGUACAUGUACAUUUUAAAAACAUUUUAUAUCCAGGACUUUAAAUGUCAGAAAAAGAUAGGGGAAAAAAAUAAUCUUUUUUUUUUAAAUAAUUAGAGAAAACCAUACCUUCUGGGCCUUGGUUAUAAUCAUCAUUAAAACAAAAUUGAAACUGUAGUUAAUUUAGGCCGUUAAGACUCCGUUAUUUAACCUCAUGUGUUCAUUUAUACAUUUAUUCAUUCAUUUUGUUUUCACUUUUACAAAUUCAGUGGGAAAAUGGAAAUUUGAGAAAUUAAUAACGCAAAUGCUAGGAAUUAGUGAUACAAUAUUCCCAAUUUCUUAUGUAUUGUUUGAGAGCUUAAAAUGUUAAAACAUUGAAAUUUACCAGAACAAGAACCAAUAUAUAUAUAUAUACAUGUAUAUAAUUUCCAAGAAUAGACGAUACAUAUUUGUCAUUUAUCUUGUCAUAGUAAAUAUACAAUUCCAGACCUCGGACCAAUUUAACAUAAUAUAACUCAGAAUAUUUAUUUCUGUUCAUAUUUAAAUUGCAAAAAUAUAUUACUGUUAACAGUGAAAUUUUCUGAUCAAAGUUUUUUUUGAGUAUGUAGAAAUGAAAGUUUAUUUUGUUCAACACCACUAGAGCACAUUACUGUAAUAAAUCGGCUAUUGGUUGUCAAAAAAUGUGAUAAUCCAGUUUUCGAGAGAAACCCAAUAAACAUUUCCAUUAGCAGCAAGGCAUCUUUUAUACGGUAUGUAAUUCCCCCCGCCCCAGACAUGACGGCAGACUGGUGAAGAGUAGAUGUACAACUACUAUUUCUUUUAAUCACAUUUUUCUUUAAAGGGACAAACCCUAGUUUUUAAACACUAAGGCAUACUUUUCACCUAGACUCUAAAAUGGACACUAAGUUUGGUUAAUUCACCAACAUGUAAUAAAUUUGGAUACAACAGAGU